rnacentral:lncRNA from 1 species
ACUAUUAUAUACUAAUUAGAUGAGAAUAUUAAAUGAGGAAAAAAAAAAACUAAAUCAUGGACCUCAUGUUAACUGCAGAAACAAACUGAAACAAAAUUCAAAUAGAGUAAAUGUAAGAGACAAAGGCCGCCACAGACGACCCCAAACUUUUCACUUUUUUUUUUGCUAUCGGGUGAAUUCUAAGAAAGUUGGUAUGGGAUGCCAUGACUUCAUGCUCGGGUGGAGUUGAGUCUCGAGUAAGACUCCAAAUACAUAUGCAUAAAAAGAGAAAAAACAAGAAUUAGAAGGGGGAUUCGGUCCUUCAGCGUGCAUAAAGAAAUCAUGAUAAACGAAAAUCAAAACAAACAAAACUACGCAAUUAUUCAAAUUGUAACAACUGGUGAACCAUAAUUGUAAUUCUAUACCAACAGAAUUCAAAUCUUUUCCCUUUCGAAGUGCAAAUAGAUUCUUUAUGUUAAGUAAUAUUCUUAUUAAAAGUUUCCUCAAUCAAUGGUAACAAACUUUACUACAUAAACUAAAAAGGACAUAUCUUAAUGAUGAAAAGAAAAGAUAUAGGCCUAACCGAUACAAAAACACACUUAAAAUUCAUAUCUUAGAAUCAGUAUCCUAAUGAAGACUUAUACAUUAGUUCAUCUAUGUCAUAAGUUGACAGGUAAGCAAGCAACAUAAUUUUAUCUUCAAGUUCAUUUUAAUUAUCGAUAUGUAAAGGAGCAGAUUCAGAUUUCUAACAAACGACAAAAGAAAAUAAAACAACAUAUGCUUAUAUCGAACCAGUCAUAUAUCAAGUUAUCCAUAAACCGGAAGGACCUAACCUUUGCUAACAGAAGCAAAUGCAGUAGUAUUUUAAAUUAAAGCAACAUCCCUUAUUUUAGUAACAUCUUAUAGAAAUGAUUUAUGAUUUAACGAGAGUCGACCCCUUAUACGAAUAGUCAAAGACAUGUUCGCACUUACUUAAAGUCGCUCCAAAAUGAGCAAAAUAUAUGUUAAUACUUGAGAAAGAUCUGUCAGCAUCCAUUUAAUUAGGAGCUAUUUCAAAUCAAAUUUAACUCAUUAUAAAAUCCUUCCUAAAAUCAUAGCAUCUGAGGCAUGCUUAUAACAAUACACACUAGAACAUAAUCUCCUUAAGAAUUAUCGCUAACAACUUUAGUCCUACCUUGAACAAACACAAAUUAGAACCAUUUUAUAGCAUCAAACAUAAAAGCUUAAUAGAAACUAACAACCCUCGAAGCAAACACGCACCAGGCAUGGAACAUACUGUAGUUAGAAUCAAGACGAGAGCGAGAAGAGAAGAUACGGAUGUUUUACAGGGCAGCAAACUGAGGCGGGUCUUAAUGCGCUAUCGAACUUUGAUCUCGACUUUACUCCUCCCUCUCGAACAAAAGCAGACUUGACUAAAUAUAUAGAGGAUAACCAAAAUUCUGCUAUGGUAAAUAACAAAUAGAAACAGUAGAGGUGUUGAAGUUAAAACUUUUCUUUUGGAGAUAGCUAAUAGGCAAAGAGUGAAUCUAGAGAGAAGAAGGGCGAUCAAAAAUUUAGUUUCGAAAGGGUGAAGGCAGCGGCUCCGUCUCUGGUUUUGAAGGGUAAAGGCAUCGCCUAAGAGAGUUUUGGAGAAGUUAAUUGGUU